CCCCCCCCCCUACUAUAGCCUGUUGAACAUCCAGUUAGAAUAGUGAAUGAACGAUGACUCACCUUCGAGGAGCUCUCAGAACAAGUGAAGCCAGAUCCAAAGUCUAUGGUCAAACACAGUACUUUACUCUGGCUGCUGCACAUGUAGGUCUUUGACUGUUGAGAGACAGAUCGGUAUUUUAGAGAACAAAUCACACAUUUCAACACAGACUGUAUAUUUACUUCAAGGAAAAGAGAAUAAAUAUGUCAGUCAAUUUUAAAACAUCUCAUACUAAAACGUUUUCAUUCUGGAAAUCAGAGGAUAUCUGGAGAUGGGGUUACCGAACAAAAAGUUGAAAUAAAUGUGCAUUUUCAUUGUGUUUCUAGUGAGGGGUAUCUUAGGUGGGUGGUUAACAAAGGGAGCAAUUAGGAUUCUGUUAAUGUGUUCUGGGUGAAAGCUUAGGAACUGCUGUCAGGGUCAGAGUAUAGUCUCUAUGGUUUAUUGUGAAAUGAAUGACAUCCAAGAAAAUGCUUGAACACCCUCUGAGCUUUGAAUAAUUACAGAAUUGGACACCCGCCCACUCAAGGGUUCAACAAACAGCUUAUUUUUUAUUUUUUAAAAUCAUGCAAUGAAAUAGGCUAUCCAUUUAUUUAGUCCUGGUAUUGUUACAGCAGUGUUCAAUCCACUAUGUUGGGUAGAAAUGUUUGAUUGUGUCAUUUGAGAAUAAUCCUGAACUAGUUCUGCAUCGUUAGUCAUAGUUUGGCUGUACUGAUCGUACCAACUCGAUAUGAAAUGCAAGGACAAAAUAAAAAUAUAUCCUUGGGUGCCUCGUAGUCUUACAUUUACUGCCCUAACAUGAACAACCAAAUGUGAGACACAAUGUUUUUCACAGUCUUAUUGAAAGCAGUGAUGUUUGAGGAGCCACUGGGCAAAAAAAACUGGGAUGCUCCUUAGUGACCAGUCUAAAGACACCAGGACGCUCAUUGGUGACCAGUCUAAAGACACCAGGAUGCUCCUUAGUGACCAGUCUAAAGACACCAGGAUGCUCCUUAGUGACCAGUCUAAAGACACCAGGAUGCUCCUUAAUGACCAGUCUAAAGACACCAGGAUGCUCCUUAGUGACCAGUCUAAAAGUCUAAAGACACCAGGAUGCUCCUUAGUGACCAGUCUAAAGACACCAGGAUGCUCCUUAGUGACCAGUCUAAAGACACCAGGAUGCUCCUUAGUGACCAGUCUAAAGACACCAGGAUGCUCCUUAGUGACCAGUCUAAAGACACCAGGAUGCUCCUUAGUGACCAGUCUAAAGACACCAGGAUGCUCCUUAGUGACCAGUCUAAAGACACCAGGAUGCUCCUUAGUGACCAGUCUAAAGACACCAGGAUGCUCCUUAGUGACCAGUCUAAAGACACCAGGAUGCUCCUUAGUGACCAGUCUAAAGACACCAGGAUGCUCCUUAGUGACCAGUCUAAAGACACCAGGAUGCUCCUUAGUGACCAGUCUAAAGACACCAGGACGCUCCUUAGUGACCAGUCCAAAGACACCAGGAUGCUCCUACACUUUUGGUUGUGAGUUUCAGGUACUGCUUGUUCCCCCCCAUCUCAUGAGGCUGGUGGGAGCCUGCUGUUUUCAAUCAUUUACUACAGUGAGCAGUGAAUGCAGUGGGACUCAACAGCCCCUGAGUGUCUUGAUGUGAAAAAAAUAAUUCUCCAUCCUGAAAUUGAGUUGCCAUGAAAAGAAACCUGCAUGAGGGCAGAUGUGUGAGAGGUUGCUGUAACAUGGUAAAUAGAGACUACACAUUGCUAAUUGGAGACUUUCCACAGUAGGGAUUGGGAUAAUACGACAUGUAGUGGUUUCAGGAAAUGUCCAUACCACAGUUACGGUUAGCGCUGUGGUUCUACUCUACAUAAUACAAUGAAUAAACAAAUAGUAUGACCUUGUCCAAGUUUGAUGUGAAAACACCAACACCUAGCUCCAUACAAAAUGAGUAAAACUGUGAGGGACAAACAGUCCAGUUAGGUUUGUCCUCACUAAUGUUUAUUUCAAGUUUAUUUAUUUAAAGCAGGAUAAUGUUCAGACUGGGCUCACUGUAUCAGCUGUUAACACCUCAGGAUAAUGUUCAGACUGGGCUCACUGUAUCAGCUGUUAACACCUCAGGAUAAUGUUCAGACUA
rnacentral:lncRNA from 13 species